AUUGAACGCUGGCGGCAUGCUUUACACAUGCAAGUCGAACGGACUUAGGGGCUUGCUCCUAGGUUAGUGGCGAACGGGUGAGUAAUGCAUCGGAACGUACCGUGUAGUGGGGGAUAACGCAGCGAAAGUUGUGCUAAUACCGCAUACGAUCUACGGAUGAAAGCAGGGGAUCGCAAGACCUUGUGCUAUACGAGCGGCCGAUGUCGGAUUAGCUAGUUGGUGAGGUAAAGGCUCACCAAGGCGACGAUCCGUAGCGGGUCUGAGAGGAUGAUCCGCCACACUGGGACUGAGACACGGCCCAGACUCCUACGGGAGGCAGCAGUGGGGAAUUUUGGACAAUGGGCGCAAGCCUGAUCCAGCCAUGCCGCGUGAGUGAAGAAGGCCU
rnacentral:rRNA from 1 species